AGAAACAUAAUCUUACACAUAGCUUCACAGAAGGCCAGAUACCAGUGAUAGAUAACACGUAGUAAUUCAUUUUACUUUCUAAAUCUUACAAGGUCCCAUUGUAAGCAAGGGGUGAAAUUAAGGUUUAGACAUGUCAGAAAGUAGAUUUAAAGGUCUAUCGCCACCACGAAGACUGGAUAAAGUCCUUGAAAUUGACAGCAAAUUUAAGUCAUGGUGGUUAUUUAGAUAAGCCAAAAUUACGUCAAAAUCAUCAUCAGACGAAGUUAACUCUUUCCAGGACAAGAAAUUUUGGUGAUGUGAUGGCGCCAUCUAUUGACCAAAAACUAGAUGAUACUAGAUAAACUAGACACACCUAGAGUUUCCUAUUCGUCAGAUCACCUAAUGACGUACAGAAAGUUUGGCCCUUUAAAAAGUAAGGACAAAGGAGAAUUCAGGAGAGAGAUCCAGGACAGAGAUUCAGACAUACACAUUCAACUCUCUGGGACUGACACUCAAAUCUGACAUUCAAAGACUCAGUCUUUGACCACAUUCAAACGCUCUUUGACUCAACUUUCCAAACCAUCACCACUUUCUCUAUUACAUGCACACCUCCAUACAAUCAUAACCAUACUUAAGAAACAAUUUCCUGGGACUAUCUAUUCAUCUGAUGAGAACAUCUACAUAACUAGUAAUUAUGCUGGUUUAUUUAAUUAUUUAAAUUAAUUAAAAUUUUACAUAGCAUGGAUAUAUGCCUGGAUAAAUUGUCAGAUUUCCACUUAGAAAUCUUAGUUAACUAAAGAAUAUAUGGUUAUAAAAACUCCAUUACAGCAGGUGGAAUUAACAUUAACGAUAUAUUAACGGUAUUAUUUACCAACAGGUUAGCAUGACACAUGUUAUCCAGAAAUAUUGACUUGCUCUGAAAUAAGAUAGUGUAUCUUAUGUAGGGAAAUUAAAUUCGGCUAAUGUAAAAUCUGGUAGAUUUUUC